rnacentral:rRNA from 1 species
GAUGAACGCUGGCGGCGUGCCUAAUACAUGCAAGUCGAGCGAACAGACGAGGAGUUUGCCCCUCUUCCGCUACCGGCGGACGGGUGAUUAACACGUGGAUAACCUACCGAUAAGACUGGGAUAACUUCGGGAAACCGGAGCUAACACCGGAUAAUAUAUUGAACCGCAGGGUUCAAUAGUGAAAGACGGUUUUGCUGACCCUUAUAGAUGUUUCCGCGCCGCAUUAGCUAGUUGGUAAGGUAACGGCUUACCAAGGCAACGAUGCGUAGCCGACCUGAGAGGGUGAUCGGCCACACUGGAACUGAGACACGGUCCAGACUCCUACGGGAGGCAGCAGUAGGGAAUCUUCCGCAAUGGGCGAAAGCCUGACGGAGCAACGCCGCGUGAGUGAUGAAGGUCUUCGGAUCGUAAAACUCUGUUAUUAGGGAAGAACAAAUGUGUAAGUAACUAUGCACGUCUUGACGGUACCUAAUCAGAAAGCCACGGCUAACUACGUG